AGAUUGAACGCCGGCGGCAUGCCUUACACAUGCAAGUCGAACGGCAGCACGGGAGCAAUCCUGGUGGCGAGUGGCGAACGGGUGAGUAAUACAUCGGAACGUGCCCAAUCGUGGGGGAUAACGCAGCGAAAGCUGUGCUAAUACCGCAUAAGAUCUACGGAUGAAAGCAGGGGAUCGCAAGACCUUGCGCGAAUGGAGCGGCCGAUGGCAGAUUAGGUAGUUGGUGAGGUAAAGGCUCACCAAGCCUUCGAUCUGUAGCUGGUCUGGGAGGACGACCAGCCACACUGGGACUGAGACACGGCCCAGACUCCUACGGGAGGCAGCAGUGGGGAAUUUUGGACAAUGGGCGAAAGCCUGAUCCAGCCAUGCCGCGUGCAGGAUGAAGGCCUUCGGUUAGUAACGUGCUUUUAGUACGGAACGAAAGUCUCUUUACUAAUAAAGAGGAUCAUAGACGGUACCGUAAGGAUAAGCACAGACUAACUACGUGACCG
rnacentral:rRNA from 1 species